UACGGGAGGCAGCAGUGGGGAAUAUUGCACAAUGGGCGCAAGCCUGAUGCAGCCAUGCCGCGUGUAUGAAGAAGGCCUUCGGGUUGUAAAGUACUUUCAGCGGGGAGGAAGGCGAUGUGGUUAAUAACCGCGUCGAUUGACGUUACCCGCAGAAGAAGCACCGGCUAACUCCGUGCCAGCAGCCGCGGUAAUACGGAGGGUGCAAGCGUUAAUCGGAAUUACUGGGCGUAAAGCGCACGCAGGCGGUCUGUUAAGUCAGAUGUGAAAUCCCCGGGCUUAACCUGGGAACUGCAUUUUGAAACUGGCAGGCUUGAGUCUCGUAGAGGGGGUAGAAUUCCAGGUGUAGCGGUGAAAUGCGUAGAGAUCUGGAGGAAUACCGGUGGCGAAGGCGGCCCCUGGGACGAAGACUGACGCUCAGGUGCGAAAGCGUGGGGAGCAAACAGGAUUAGGAUACC
rnacentral:rRNA from 1 species